AAACCAUUAGCUAACUUUAAUGCUAAAAGCUCCUAAACAUCUGUUUGCAAAGGUUUUGCGUUUGUUUUUGAUAUUCAUUAACUACUUAUUUCCCUCUUAAAUAUCUCCAUAAACUUACAGUAUCAACUCAUAGUUUUAAUACUUCAUCGUCAACAACUUCUGAAGCAUGAGAAACCGUUAUCUUGUUUUCUCUCUGACUGUGAACUUCUUAACCAGGGCAAAGGAAAUAAAGGACGACAUAAGAGGCAGAGACAACGCCUGGUAAAUGUCCUUGAAGGGGUCAAACUAUAGUGAAAACUUCACUUUUGCCCCAACUACACAAAAACAAGCUGACUAACACAACAGUCAUCUCACCCUGCAGAACCUAAACAAACUCUAACGCUGGCUAUUGCUAAACAUCAUUAACACAACAUAAUAUUUGAGUAGAUACAUGUAUAACAGCUUUAGUACUAAAAGUUUUAUUAAAAAAAUAACCAUAUUAAAAUAACAUAAAAAAAUAUAACAGAAUUAACCAGUUACUGUAUACUUGGUGUGGCAAAUAAAACUAAAAGCAUGCAUUUGCAUUAAUGUCUAUGUGCUUCUUGUUGUUUGUUUUUUUUUAACAGUUCUGAUAGAUUUGAUAAAUGGGCUUUAUUGUAAUUGCUUGGCAUUGUUGUCUUCAUUCACAUAAAUGAUAAAUGAUCAUCUGCAUCAGUAUCUUCCUGUAAUUAUGUCUUUUUUUUUUUGUCUGAAGACAAGUGGAGAGGAUAAGCAAGGACAAGAGGAAGAAGAGUUGUAUAAUGGCGAAGAAUACAGUUAUGAGUUUGAGUAUGAGGAAGAACUUUUCCCAGAUGAUCCCUUCACCUCUAAGGAGAUCAGAGACAGCAGACAGCUUGAAGUCCAAACAGAUGAAAUUCCCUAUCGAAUGGAUAAAAAG
rnacentral:lncRNA from 1 species